CCUACGGGAGGCAGUAGUGAGGAAUAUUGGUCAAUGGACGAGAGUCUGAACCAGCCAAGUAGCGUGAAGGAUGACUGCCCUAUGGGUUGUAAACUUCUUUUAUAAAGGAAUAAAACGAGGCACGUGUGCCUUUUUGCAUGUACUUUAUGAAUAAGGAUCGGCUAACUCCGUGCCAGCAGCCGCGGUAAUACGGAGGAUCCGAGCGUUAUCCGGAUUUAUUGGGUUUAAAGGGAGCGUAGAUGGGUUGUUAAGUCAGUUGUGAAAGUUUGCGGCUCAACCGUAAAAUUGCAAUUGAUACUGGCAGUCGUGAGUACAGUUGAGGUAGGCGGAAUUCGUGGUGUAGCGGUGAAAUGCUUAGAUAUCACGAAGAACCCCGAUUGCGAAGGCAGCUUACUAAACUGUGACUGACAUUGAUGCUCGAAAGUGUGGGUAUCAAACAGGAUUAGAUACCCCAGUAGUC
rnacentral:rRNA from 1 species